CCUGUGAAGAGGCGAUGGCAGCAGGAUAGAUAAGAGAUAAUGGGCUUAGGCUAGGGGCUCUGGAGGUAAAUUGGGUAAAUCAUGUGGAGGAGAUUUGAGGAGCAGAUUUGCAAGGGUGGUCGGUAGUAAAAUCAAGUGUUACCUGCUGAAUGUUAUCUUGGAUUUCCAUACAAGAUGCCCUAGUGAAGACUGGAACUGGCAGUUGGAUAUAGGAAUCUGAAGCUCAGAGAAGACAUCUGCCUGGGGACAGACAUAUUGGAGACACCAGCACACGAAUAGUACUUAGGACCAUGGGAUAAUAUGAGAUGUGGUAGUCAGCUCUCAGUAGGUUGUGCUGCAGUAACAAACAAUCCCCCAAUACUCACAAAUCCCAGUGGUCUAUAAGCAACAUGUGUUUACGUUCCUCUCACUUACUAUCUGCAGGGCGAAGCCAAGUCCCUGCUCUGUAUGUCUUUUUUAUUUUGACAGACAAAUAGAGGGACUAGGCCUCUCUGACUAGGCCGUGUGGUUGUAAGGCACAGGAAAAAGCAAAGACAGAACAUGUGCUAUCCCUGGAAGGUCUUGUUCAGAUGUGGCACAUGUCACUUGUGUGCACACUCCAUUCACUGAAGCCUAAUGUCCUCGGACGGAGCCUGAUGUCAGUGGGGUGGGGGACUACAACUCCUCCAGCAGGGGAUGGUGGGGGAACUCAGGUCACAGGGAACAAUCCAGGAGGGCAGCAAAGAGCUGGCCUCAUUGGAACAGAGGACUGAACGUCAUGCCCGUGCUCCUUGCCCACAGGCUCGUCUGCAUCCCCCAACACCAACAGCCCCUGGGCGUGCCUCCACCUGUGGGCCCACCAUGCUCUCAGUUUCUCUAGGUUAGAACUCCAAGAGCAGUGGAGCUGGGGAUCAACCAGGGCUGCAGUCAUCUGAAUAUUGCCCAGGCCUGGAGGGUUUGUUUCCAAGCUCACUCAUGUGGUCAUUGGCAGGAAGCUUGGAUUUUAAGUGAGCCCUGCUAUAGGGUUUCCCAUGACGUCACUUCCUCCAAAUCUACUCCUCCAAGAGCAAGAACCUCUGGAGGCUAAUCUCCAUGUGGCAGAAGAACAGCAAUCCCCAGGAACUGCCACUGGACGGAGCCCGUGUGUGAC